AGUCCUGUGGCGCAGUGGUAGCGCGCCGUUCUUAUAUGACUCGUCAUUGAUUCAUAUGGCCUUCAUCUGGUAAUGCGGAUGCCGUGGGUUCGAACCCCACCAGGACUA
rnacentral:tRNA from 1 species